GCAAUUGGCAGCGGCCGCAGCGGCCCCAGCCUCCCCCCCCCCCCCCCCGGGCCGACGAUCCCGGCCUCGAAAGGAGGCGGCUGCGCUUCGCCGCCGCGGCCCCGCCUCCUGCCGCCCCCUGUCGGGGGAGGAGCGGCACCGCCCCGAGUUGUGCCGCCUGCCCCUCUCACCGCGUCGGGACCUCCUCCCCGGCCCCGCCUGGCGCUGUGCUACCCGCUCUGUGCCGGCCCUGCUCUUGCCUGCUCUGCUUUACCCUUCUUAGCCCGCAGAAGUGGGGCGGUGUUCUCAGGCUGCGUCGGUCCAGCUCGGACGUAGAGGUGCCCGACAACCCUGGAUCCGGCAGUAGUGGAGCAGCCCCGGGCCUCUCAGCUCCUGCCAAGUGGCUGUUGUGCCGCCUCCUCCAGGGCUCGGGUUUGGCGGGGCGGGAUCAGCCACGGGAGCACUUUGCAGCCCUGCCCUGACCCAGAGCUAUCCUCCGGACGCCGUGGAAAAGAAACUAAAUUGCAGCCGAAAUGCCUGACACAGCGUUGUAAUACCAUGCCUGAUAAAACCAAAUACCCUUGGUAUGAGCGCACAGGUGCUGCCACGGAAGGUAUUAAAGGUCCGCGUUGUACGAGUGAGAGGAGGUAAAGGGGCAGGGAAGCAGCAAGCGGAACAACAUGCACUCCCCGUAGCGACAGCAGGGACGGGGACGCGCGCACUAAAUGAAACGCAACGCUAGCGAGAAGCAGAAAGAGAACGAUUGACUGCAGCUGUUCCACAGCAAAGAACAUCAAUCUGGUUUAGAAACUCAAAGGGACUCUGAAGUGCCAGGACAUACCUUUGUUGCCGAUCCAGAGCUCAGCCUACCAGACUGUCAGCUUUGAUGUAGAUCUGACAACGGGCUUCUCUUAAGUUUGGGACCUCCCACCGUUUCCAGUGUGUCGAGGUUGGGCAAAACCCAUGACAAAUGAAAAAACCAAAACCACACAUACAAAAGGCACCCUGAUCAGAUUCAAAAUGCUUUUAAUCAAAUUAUUUGGGAAAUAGAGUUAACAUUUCUCAAAAUAAUGAUUUCCUUGGGAAAAUUCCAGACAGCUGGAAAUGAAGUGAUAACUCAUUUAUUCUCCACAAACGUUUAUCCCAAGUCACUUUAGUUCGAGGGAUUUCGUCUUUGUUUCCCGGUAAGCGUAGCGUCUGUUUCCCUGCAGCAUAAGGAGACAUCUAGUGACGACAUAAUGAACUGCAAAUAACUUUCAA